CUAAUACAUGCAAGUCGAGCGCACCUUCGGGUGAGCGGCGGACGGGUGAGUAACGCGUGGGAACGUGCCCUUUGGUUCGGAACAACACAGGGAAACUUGUGCUAAUACCGAAUGUGCCCUUCGGGGGAAAGAUUUAUCGCCAUUGGAGCGGCCCGCGUUGGAUUAGGUAGUUGGUGGGGUAAAGGCCCACCAAGCCGACGAUCCAUAGCUGGUCUGAGAGGAUGAUCAGCCACACUGGGACUGAGACACGGCCCAGACUCCUACGGGAGGCAGCAGUAGGGAAUCUUGCGCAAUGGGCGAAAGCCUGACGCAGCCAUGCCGCGUGAAUGAUGAAGGUCUUAGGAUUGUAAAAUUCUUUCACCGGGGAAGAUAAUGACGGUACCCGGAGAAGAAGCCCCGGCUAACUUCGUGCCAGCAGCCGCGGUAAUACGAAGGGGGCUAGCGUUGCUCGGAAUUACUGGGCGUAAAGGGCGCGUAGGCGGAUAGUUUAGUCAGAGGUGAAAGCCCAGGGCUCAACCUUGGAACUGCCUUUGAUACUGGCUAUCUUGAGUUCGGGAGAGGUGAGUGGAAUGCCGAGUGUAGAGGUGAAAUUCGUAGAUAUUCGGCGGAACACCAGUGGCGAAGGCGACUCACUGGCCCGAUACUGACGCUGAGGCGCGAAAGCGUGGGGAGCAAACAGG
rnacentral:rRNA from 1 species